rnacentral:misc_RNA from 1 species
GAUGAAGAACGCAGCGAAAUGCGAUACGUAGUGUGAAUUGCAGAAUUCAGUGAAUCAUCGAAUCUUUGAACGCACAUUGCACCUCUCGGUAUUCCGGGAGGUAUGCCUGUUCGAGCGUCAUUUGUACCCUCAAGCUCUUCUUGGUGUUGGGUGUUUGUUCCGCCUCUGUGUGUGAACUCGCCUCAAAACAAUUGGCAGCCGGCGUACUUGUUUCGGAGCGCAGCACAUUUUGCGAUCCAGAUCAACGUACAGCGGCAUCCAAGAAGCCUUAUUUAACGCUCUUGACCUCGGAUCAGGUAGGGAUACCCGCUGAACUUAAGCAUAUCAAUAAGCGGAGGA